UACGUAGGGAGCGAGCGUUGUCCGGAUUCAUUGGGCGUAAAGAGCUCGUAGGCGGCCAACUAAGUCAGACGUGAAAUCCCUCGGCUUAACCGGGGAACUGCAUCUGAUACUGGAUGGCUUGAGUUCGGGAGAGGGAUGCGGAAUUCCAGGUGUAGCGGUGAAAUGCGUAGAUAUCUGGAGGAACACCGGUGGCGAAGGCGGCAUCCUGGACCGACACUGACGCUGAGGAGCGAAAGCCAGGGGAGCAAACGGG
rnacentral:rRNA from 1 species